rnacentral:tRNA from 1 species
CAUUAGGUGGCUGAAAGAAAGCAGUGGAAUUUUAAACCGCCCUAUGAUACCUUAAACGACUAUCCCUAAUG